AGAACGAACGCUGGCGGCAUGCCUAACACAUGCAAGUCGAACGAGACCUUCGGGUCUAGUGGCGCACGGGUGCGUAACGCGUGGGAAUCUGCCCUUGGGUUCGGGAUAACAGUUGGAAACGACUGCUAAUACCGGAUGAUGACUUCGGUCCAAAGAUUUAUCGCCCAGGGAUGAGCCCGCGUAAGAUUAGCUAGUUGGUGGGGUAAAGGCCUACCAAGGCAACGAUCUUUAGCUGGUCUGAGAGGAUGAUCAGCCACACUGGGACUGAGACACGGCCCAGACUCCUACGGGAGGCAACAGUGGGGAAUAUUGGACAAUGGGCGAAAGCCUGAUCCAGCAAUGCCGCGUGAGUGAUGAAGGCCUUAGGGUUGUAAAGCUCUUUUACCCGGGAUGAUAAUGACAGUACCGGAGAAUAAGCCCCGGCUAACUCCGCGCCAGCAGCCGC
rnacentral:rRNA from 1 species